AUUGAACGCUGGCGGCAGGCCUAACACAUGCAAGUCGAGCGAGCGGCGGACGGGUGCGGAAUGUCUGGGAAACUGCCUGUUAGAGAGGGAUAACUACUGGAAACCGUAGCUAAUACCGCAUACCAUCCGAUUUCCCCAGAUGGGAUUGGCUAGUCGGUGGGGUAACGGCUAACCUAGGCGACGAUCCCUAGCGGGUCUCAGAGGAUGACCAGCCACACUGGAACUGAGACACGGUCCAGACUCCUACGGGAGGCAGCAGUGGGGAAUAUUGCACAAUGGGCGAAAGCCUGACGCAGCCAUGCCGCGUGAGUGAAGAAGGCCUUCGGGUUGUAAAGCACUGUCAGCGGGGAGGCGGUAUCUGAAGAAGAAGCACCGGCUAACUACGUGCCAGCAGCCGCGGUAAUUC
rnacentral:rRNA from 1 species